AUUGAACGCUAGCGGGAUGCUUUACACAUGCAAGUCGAACGAGUGGCGGACGGGUGAGUAAUAUAUCGGAAAGUGCCCAGUAGCGGGGGAUAACUACUCGAAAGAGUGGCUAAUACAGCAUACUAUUGGAGCGGCCGAUAUAGGAUUAGCUAGUUGGGGGGGUAAAGGCGCACCAAGGCAACGCUCCGUAGCUGGUUUGAGAGGACGACCAGCCAACCGGGUACUUAUACACGGCCCAGCCCCCUACGUGAGGCAGCAGUGGGUAAGUGUGGACAAUGGGGGAAACCCUGAUCCAGCCAUCCCGCGUGUAUGAGAAGGCCUUCGGGUUGUAAAGUACUUUUGGCAGAGAAGCGGUAUCUAACCAGAAUGCCACGGCUAACUACGUGCCAGCAGCCGCGGUAAUAC
rnacentral:rRNA from 1 species